rnacentral:rRNA from 1 species
UACGAAGGGUGCAAGCGUUAAUCGGAAUUACUGGGCGUAAAGCGCGCGUAGGUGGUUCAGUAAGUUGGAUGUGAAAGCCCCGGGCUCAACCUGGGAAUUGCAUUCAAAACUGGCUAACUAGAAUACGGGAGAGGGGGGUAGAAUUCCAAGUGUAGCGGUGAAAUGCGUAGAGAUUUGGAGGAAUACCAGUGGCGAAGGCGGCCCCCUGGCCCGAUAUUGACGCUGAGGUGCGAAAGCGUGGGGAGCAAACAGG